rnacentral:rRNA from 1 species
UUCCUACGGGGGGCAGCAGUGGGGAAUAUUGCACAAUGGGGGAAACCCUGAUGCAGCGACGCCGCGUGAGUGAAGAAGUAUUUCGGUAUGUAAAGCUCUGUCAGCAGGGAAGAAAAUGACGGUACCUGACCAAGAAGCCCCGGCUAACUACGUGCCAGCAGCCGCGGUAAUACGUAGGGGGCAAGCGUUAUCCGGAUUUACUGGGUGUAAAGGGAGCGUAGACGGCAGGGCAAGUCUGGAGUGAAAGGCGGGGGCUCAACCCCCGGACUGCUUUGGAACCUGUAUGGCUGGAGUGCAGGAGAGGG